GUUUAAAUAGUUUAAUAAAAACGUUGGUUUGUGGAGCCAAAAAUAUGAAAAAAUUCAUUUUAAAUC
rnacentral:tRNA from 1 species